UCACAAUCAGGGGAGAGUUCAUGUCAUCUCCACCGCCCAAGUCAGAUGGUUUCUCUGCUCACCCAGCCAGCCAAUGGCGUGGAACAGCCCUAGUGACGUCACGGAUCCCAGGCAGGCUCCUCGGUGAUGGGCUUUGCCUGGUCCCCUGCCUGGUAGACCCUGCUGCGCAGCCACACUUGUUACAAGCUACCCCCCCCCCCCAUCCUUCCCCUUCCGGUCUCCAUCUUAGACCGGGAGGCAAUAGGCGGGAAAGGUCGAGGCAGGCUCGGUGAAGGAGGUCUGGAGUCGGGCUGGUUGUCAUGGAAGGAGGAGGCAGCGUGUGGUGGCACUGCCAGGGAUUUAAGGCUGCUGAGGUGUCACGAGGCAUCAUUGUGGACCUCCCCUGCUGGGCAGUGAGCUUGGGGUUACUGAAGCUGGGCUCACCCAGCUGGUCGGUGUGAGGUUCCUGGUUUUUGUUCUUAAUCCUGGAGCAUGAAUUCACA